CUCCUUGACGUUAGCGGCGGACGGGUAGUAACACGUGGGUAACCUACCUAUAAGACUGGGAUAACUUCGGGAAACCGGAGCUAAUACCGGAUAAUAUUUCGAACCGCAUGGUUCGAUAGUGAAAGGUGGUUUUGCUAUCACUUAUAGAUGGACCCGCGCCGUAUUAGCUAGUUGGUAAGGUAACGGCUUACCAAGGCGACGAUACGUAGCCGACCUGAGAGGGUGAUCGGCCACACUGGAACUGAGACACGGUCCAGACUCCUACGGGAGGCAGCAGCU
rnacentral:rRNA from 1 species